GGUUAUGGCUCAGUGGUAGAGCUCUUUCCUUGCACAUUGAGGCCCUGGGUUCGAUCCUCAGCACCA
rnacentral:tRNA from 1 species